rnacentral:rRNA from 1 species
CAGCAGCCGCGGUAAUACAGAGGGUGCAAGCGUUAAUCGGAAUUACUGGGCGUAAAGCGCGCGUAGGUGGUUUGUUAAGUUGGAUGUGAAAUCCCCGGGCUCAACCUGGGAACUGCAUCCAAAACUGGCAAGCUAGAGUAUGGUAUAGGGUGGUGGAAUUUCCUGUGUAGCGGUGAAAUGCGUAGAUAUAGGAAGGAACACCAGUGGCGAAGGCGACCACCUGGACUGAUACUGACACUGAGGUGCGAAAGCGUGGGGAGCAAACAGGAUUAGAUACCCCAGUAGUCCCUGUCUCUUAUAC